AAUUAAAUCGAAGCUAUAUAUUUCAAAUAAACUUAGAGAAACAUGUGUUGUACAACCAAUACUUAGAAAGUGAUUGCUUAAAGAUCUCUACUAUCAAUAAAUUCCACAAAACCAAAUGCACUCAAACAUAUAUGACAAUAGUACUACAAAAAAUCUUCAUCGUUCACUACAAUAGAUCGACUUUACUUCUGGCCACAAUUCAAAUUCAAUUGCCGGCAUUUUCCUGCACAUUCAAAAUAAAAUUAUAAAUUAGUGAAAUAAAUCAUGUAUUUAAUAUGCUUAAAUUCACAGCAAGCCAGACCAAUUCAUAACAAUAAAGAUGUGGAAGUGCAUAAUUGGAGAGUGUUCACUGUAAGCCAACCAAUUCAAAAGUGGACUCCUACUUUUAGGCCUGAGGAUGAAACACCUAUAGUCAAUUUUAUUUUUAAUCUAUUUGGUAGACUUAGGUACAACUUAUAGUUGUGUUACGGUUUGGGUAAAUGAUAGAGUUGAAAUUAUACCAAAUGAUCAAGGAAAUAGAACAACACCUUCUGAAAUUGCCUUUACUGAUAUUGAACAUUUGAUUGGUGAUGCAACUAAGGAUCAAGUAUAAGCGAACAGAUUUCCAAAGAAUGCAGAGACAUUAAAACUGUUCAGGUUUCCAAAAAAGAACAUAAUUGUUAGAUACAUUUUUCUAACUAUAAUUCAAGUCAAGUCCCCUAAGUCCAUGAAGGAUAUGAAUCUUAAUUACAAGCCAUCAAUUUAGAAGUCCAAAACAACAGUUUAUAACCUAAUAACAGACCAACAUUCUAGCACCCAAUGCUAGACAUAUUGCUCAAUGUUUUUCAUUCAUAAGCUAAGCAUAAUGAGAAUUCUGAACAGUGAAAAAGCCUAGGUAUUCGAUCAGGCCAUUAAUGCACUAAUUAAUUUUCAGACAUUCCAGGAUGUCCAAAACUUACGUGAUCCUAGUAGAAACUUUUGGCUAAGUACGUACAAGAAUGAUACAAAAUGUCAAAUUCCUACAUUCAUGUUCCCUUGUUCUCACAAGUCCUUAAAACAGAAUUUUCACAGAGUAUACAUACUAAUCAGCAAAAAGCCUUUCACUGUACACAAUUAAAGACUAUAAAAAUCAGUUUCUUGAUAAUAUGAUAUGAAAAGAAAGCAGUAAAAGCAACCAUAAAACGUCAACAACAGAUAUCUGAACAAUGUUUAGCAUCUUUUGAGUCUUACUUUUGUUGCAU
rnacentral:lncRNA from 1 species